rnacentral:lncRNA from 1 species
UUAGUUCUGCAAACAGAAACAUUUCUCGAAUUUCCAGAGCAUUAUGGUAAGUUUGUGCUUCUUAUAUCUUCUAUAAAUUUUUCUGACUUAGAAAAUAAUUACUGCUUGAAAUUCGAGGUUAAAUUCUUGUAUCUGUUCGUUCAAUUAAUGGUGAAUUAUGUUUUUACUACAGUUUAUUAAAUUCCAAUGUUCCUUUUCCAAUCAAACACACACACACAGUGGUAGCUGAAAAAAUGUAUAUUUCUUAGUUCGAGUGAUAGUGGAUUUUCACCGUAUGUGUAGUGAGAGUUUCACCAAUGUGUAAUGGUGCACAGGAAAUUAGUUUAAUUUCCUAUUUUUUGAUUUUUCCGAUGGUUUAUAGAGUGAUUCUUUAAUCCAUUUGGUGAAUGAAUAAGAAUUUUAUUAGUAAAGCAUACAGGAAAUGCAAUUCAGUAAAAAAAAAUAUCCCCCAUUUGUUAACAAAAAAAGAGAGUAACUUUAUACAUUUUGAAUUAAAUAGAGCUGAAAUUUGGUCCAUCUUAUGGUGUACUUGCUUGUGGAGCUGUUACUAUUGUGUGUGUGUGUGUGUUUUUUUUUUAUUUUUAAAUUUUACAAAGGUGAGGGGAAGGGGGAAUUGGGGACAGAGAGGGUAUUACAAGGUGGGGAAUCGAGUCCUCCACCAAUAAGGUGGAACUUCAGUUGCCAAACAACUAAGCGGGUGCUUACUUUUUUUACUAGUUACUGUUUUGAUUGCGUGAGUGCACUUUUUUUGGGGGAAAUAUGAAAUGAUCAUUGCUUUAAAAAAAAUUGGAUUUGAUUCUUCUCUGGACCAGUCCAGUUGGAGACAGUUUAUUGUUCCUUUCCAAAGAUGAUGUUAUGGUACCAAUUAGUGCAGUGUUCAAUGUAAUUACAAUAACAACAAUCUAGCGGAAUCUCACAAGUGGAGUAUGGGUAGUGUGUCGUAGACCUUACCCUUACUCUGGAAGAGUAGAGAGGUUGUUUCCGAUAGACCCUCGGCUCACAAUGAUGCAAAGAGACAAUGGAGUAGUAACAUCGAAGGAAGUCAGGAAGAUAACACCAGCAACGUAAUAACCAGAAAAUAGAAAGAAAAGCAAUGACAAUGACACAUUACUACACACACAAUGAAAGUAAUAAGGACACAACAAGAGCGACAAAAUACUAUCAAACUAGACUAGUAAGACAAAACACUAUCAGACUAGCCUUCUACCUCCUAACCUACAACCUUAAUGCUCGACCUCCACAACUUCUUAUCUGCAACGUCUAUUUUUCUUGGAGAAAAUUCUUUUCUGGGGUUUAGAUGAUGAAGGAAAUUAGAGUUCGAAGAUUUUACGAAAUGAAUCAGGUUUGUGUUGAAGGAUGGUGAAGAAUAGAGCCUUUAAUUAUAUGUAGUUGAAGGACUUAUAAAAAAGAGAGAAAUAAAAAUGAGAGGUUGGAGGGUUAAUACUGACUCCAAAUUACAUAAAGUUUUACGUUUUAACAAUAUGGUGAUAAACAAGCUUUCUGUCCAUGUGAAAUGGUAGUAAAAUCUAACAGUUUCUACUGUGUGUGAUUUCUGUAUAGAGAGUGAGGACGUCAAUUCUUGAAGAGUAUUUCAUCUGGAAAAGAACAUAUUAUCCAAGAAUCAUGUGUAUCCUUUGUGUUAUUAUGGUAUAAAGAAGGAACCAUGACAAGGGGGCGACUAACUCCCAAAUUGAUUAAGGAGAGAAAGUAACUUGCCUCCUGUUCUAGUUGGAGUAGCUCAUUUGUCCCUUGGUCGGGUACUUGGAAAAUAUCGAACCUCUUUCCUACUUCUGCCGUUUACCUAUUGAUCAUAAGAUUUCAAGUUUCUUCAUAUUGACUGGUUAUUGCAUGUCUUGACAUCUGUGGAGUCUAUGUGUAAGAAUAUUGCUGUAUAUUAGGUCCAUUGAGUUUCCUAGUGAUGAAUUGUGUGUGGACAUCUUGGGAGUGUUGAAAGCUGGUGGAGUAGUUGUACUAAUCAUAAAUUCCCAAUUUGCUCCAAGUGGUAGGCAGUAAAUUCUCAGUUUAUGCCUUUUUGUUGUCUGUAUUUUUAUGGGAGUGCUAAUUCUUCUGUUCAUCUUUUAAUUCUGUAUAGCAGGUAAGCUCCACACUUGAGCGCGAGUUGUUGUUGGCAGGAUUCUUGGACUCACAGUUGUCUGAAGCUGGACACUCUUUUGUGGUUAGUAAUUUCACCCAUGAGUCUGGUAUCCUACUUUUUUCUUUUCCUCCACAUCAGCCCCCUGCGUCUUCUUAAAUGAAAAUCCUCUCCUUUUGUUGAGAUUUGAGUAAGUGAACCUUUUUUUUUGCAUUUUAGUGCUUUUAACUGAAUAGAGAACCUUUGCUUCUCUUUGAUCUUUCUUAGACUGUUAUAUGCCUUAUGUCAGGAAUAUAAGUUUGCAUUGUAUUAUCAUUGUUAGAUAUGUAUUAUAGUAGAACUCUAGUCCAAAGUGUAUUAGGAGUAGGUUAGGUUAUGUGUAUUAUAU